rnacentral:rRNA from 1 species
UUNACAUGCAAGUCGUACGGGAGUUUUUAACUCUAGUGGCGGACGGGUGAGUANAANGNNNNNNAUUUGCCUUUAGGAGGGGGACAACAACUGGNAAAGGUUGNUAAUACCCCAUAUGCUUUCGAGUGAAAUGGAUUUCCGCCUAAAGAGAAGCUUGCGGCUGAUUAGCUUGUUGGUGAGGUAAUGGCUCACCAAGGCGACGAUCAGUAUCUGGUUUGAGAGGACGAUCAGACACACUGGAACUGAGACACGGUCCAGACUCCUACGGGAGGCAGCAGUGGGGAAUUUUCCGCAAUGGGCGAAAGCCUGACGGAGCAAUACCGCGUGAGGGAUGAAGGCCUAUGGGUUGUAAACCUCUUUUUUCAGGGAGGAAUAAAUGACGUGUACCUGAUUAAUAAGCAUCGGCUAACUCCGUGCCAGCAGCCGCGGUAAGACGGGGGAUGCAAGUGUUAUCCGGAAUCACUGGGCGUAAAGCGUCUGUAGGUGGUUAAAUAAGUCAACUGUUAAAUCUUGAGGCUUAACCUCAAAAUCGCAGCCGAAACUGUUUGACUAGAGUAUAGUAGGGGUAAAGGGAAUUUCCAGUGGAGCGGUGAAAUGCGUAGAUAUUGGAAAGAACACCGAUGGCGAAGGCACUUUACUGGGCUAUUACUAACACUGAGAGACGAAAGCUAGGGUAGCAAAUGGGAUUAGAUACCCCAGUAGUCCUAGCUGUAAACAAUGGAUACUAGAUGUUGAAC